AGAGUUUGAUCCUGGCUCAGGAUUAACGUUGGUAGUAUGCCUAACACAUGCAAGUCGAGCGGAGAGUAGCAAUACUCUUAGCGGCGAACGGGUGAGUAAUGCUUAUCUUACUUGCCAAUUAGUGGGGGAUAACCAUGGGAAACUAUGGCUAAUACCGCAUUUGUUAAUUUAUUAAUAAGUAAAGUAAUGAAAGGAAGUCGUAAGACUUUCGCUAAUUGAUAGGGAUAAGUCGUAUUAGCUAGUUGGUAGGGUAAUGGCCUACCAAGGCAAUGAUGCGUAGCCAGCCUGAGAGGGUGAAUGGCCACAAGGGAACUGAGACACGGUCCCUACUCCUACGGGAGGCAGCAGUGAGGAAUUUUCGACAAUGGGGGCAACCCUGAUCGAGCAAUACUACGUGAAGGAGGAAGGUCUACGGAUUGUAAACUUCUGUUAGUGCGGAAGAAGGAUGAACGAAUGUUCAUCUUGACGGUACGCACAGAGAAAGCCACGACUAACUACGUGCCAGCAGUCGCGGUAAGACGUAGGUGGCGAACGUUAUCCGGAAUUACUGGGCGUAAAGGGUGCGUAGGUUGUCUGAUAAGUUAAUGGUGGCAAAUCGGGGCUCAACCUCGUGGAAGUUAUUAAUACUGUCGGACUUGAGUGCAGGAGAGGUUAACGGAACUCCAUGUGGAGCGGUAAAAUGCAUAGAUAUAUGGAAGAACACCAAUAACGGCGAAGGCAGUUAACUAUUCUGUUACUGACAUUGAGGCACGAAAGCGUGGGGAGCAAAAAGGAUUAGAUACCCCAGUAGUCC
rnacentral:rRNA from 1 species